rnacentral:rRNA from 1 species
CCGAAACCCGGUGAUCUAGCCAUGGGCAGGUUGAAGGUUGGGUAACACUAACUGGAGGACCGAACCGACUAAUGUUGAAAAAUUAGCGGAUGACCUGUGGCUGGGGGUGAAAGGCCAAUCAAACCGGGAGAUAGCUGGUUCUCCCCGAAAGCUAUUUAGGUAGCGCCUCGUGAAUUCAUCUCCGGGGGUAGAGCACUGUUUCGGCUAGGGGGCCAUCCCGGCUUACCAACCCGAUGCAAACUGCGAAUACCGGAGAAUGUUAUCACGGGAGACACACGGCGGGUGCUAACGUCCGUCGUGAAGAGGGAAACAACCCAGACCGCCAGCUAAGGUCCCAAAGUCAUGGUUAAGUGGGAAACGAUGUGGGAAGGCCCAGACAGCCAGGAUGUUGGCUUAGAAGCAGCCAUCAUUUAAAGAAAGCGUAAUAGCUCACUGGUCGAGUCGGCCUGCGCGGAAGAUGUAACGGGGCUAAACCAUGCACCGAAGCUGCGGCAGCGACACUGUGUGUUGUUGGGUAGGGGAGCGUUCUGUAAGCCUGUGAAGGUGU